AGGUAUCAGAAGUGCGAAUGCUGACAUGAGUAACGACAAUGCGGGUGAAAAACCCGCACGCCGGAAGACCAAGGGUUCCUGCGCAACGCUAAUCGGCGCAGGGUGAGUCGGCCCCUAAGGCGAGACCGAAAGGUGUAGUCGAUGGGAAACGGGUUAAUAUUCCCGUACCUUGGAUAGCUGCGAUGGAGAGACGGAGAAGGCUAGGUGAGCCGGGCGACGGUUGUCCCGGUUUAAGCGAGUAGGGAGUGGACUUAGGCAAAUCCGGGUCCACAAUCUCGAGACGCGACGACGACUGCUCUUAGAGCGGGAAGUCAUUGAUGCCAUGCUUCCAGGAAAAUCUUCUAAGCUUCAGGCUAUUCGAGACCGUACCCCAAACCGACACAGGUGGUCAGGUAGAGAAUACCAAGGAGAUCGAGA
rnacentral:rRNA from 1 species